UUUCCAAGUGGUUUGAGGUUUAGAAAAGCUAGAAGAGAUUGUUUUCGCCGAAAAGUUGCUCGGUAGAGAAAGAAAUGAGUGAAUGACAUAAGGAGAACUGAAGCAUGGUCCUGACCCUGAUUUGUACAUAUGAACACAUCGACCUUUUGUGGGUUAUUUCAGUUUACCAAUGUGAUAUUUGUAAUAAAGUGUGAAGUUAUGUUUUGAAAACAAAUUGGGUUAUUUAAUACUUAUGUAUAAUAUGUUUGAGA